GAUGAACGCUGACAGAAUGCUUAACACAUGCAAGUCAACUUGAAUUUGGGUUUAUAACUUAGGUUUGGGUGGCGGACGGGUGAGUAACACGUAAAGAACUUGCCUCACAGCUAGGGACAACAUUUAGAAAUGAAUGCUAAUACCUGAUAUUAUGGUUAUAGGGCAUCCUAUAAUUAUGAAAGCUAAAUGCACUGUGAGAGAGCUUUGCGUCCCAUUAGCUAGUUGGAGAGGUAACAGCUCACCAAGGCGAUGAUGGGUAGCCGGCCUGAGAGGGUGAACGGCCACAAGGGGACUGAGACACGGCCCUUACUCCUACGGGGGGCAGCAGUGGGGAAUAUUGGACAAUGGACCAAGAGUCUGAUCCAGCAAUUCUGUGUGCACGAUGAAGUUUUUCGGAAUGUAAAGUGCUUUCAGUUGGGAAGAAAGAAAUGACGGUACCAACAGAAGAAGUGACGGCUAAAUACGUGCCAGCAGCCGCGGUAAUACGUAUGUCACGAGCGUUAUCCGGAUUUAUUGGGCGUAAAGCGCGUCUAGGUGGUUAUGUAAGUCUGAUGUGAAAAUGCAGGGCUUAACUCUGUAUUGCGUUGGAAACUGUAUAACUAGAGUACUGGAGAGGUAAGCGGAACUACAAGUGUAGAGGUGAAAUUCGUAGAUAUUUGUAGGAAUGCCGAUGGGGAAGCCAGCUUACUGGACAGAUACUGACGCUGAAGCGCGGAAGCGUGGGUAGCAAACAGG
rnacentral:rRNA from 1 species